rnacentral:lncRNA from 1 species
GCGUCGCCCCCUGCCCCCGCCCUCCCGGCCCCGCCUCUCGGGCUCUGAGGUCUUGUGCGCUCUGAGCCCCCGGGUGUGCCGCGGGAAGGUCCCCCCGGAGCUGGGUGUCACUGCUCUGAAUUCCCUCCACUGGAGAUGGGUCUCGGGAAUCUCAGGUCCGAUCUUGGUUAUGGAUGGUCCGUGGAAAAUGUCCUUUAGUGCUUUCUUACCAAGUGGGAAUCCUGGUAGCUUUUCUUCUACCCAAUCGGCAAAAAAUUGCCGAUUAUCUUGGUCAAAAGGCUAGGACAAGACUAGGAUGGUCAGUAGUUCUAUGGCUUGCUUUAAAGUUUCCUGUUUCUCAGCAAAUAUGUGUCUUCCUUCUGUGUUCACUGCUACGCUCCUUGGGCACAAUUGUGUGAGCUUACUUUCCCUAUGUUUCAUCACAUUCUCAAAUGUCCUCAAGAAGCAAGAUUAAAGGCAACACUGUUGGUAGAAUUCAUUUUAAAGUGUAAAUCCUUGGCUUCCACCUUUCUUUCCUUUUGAGAUCCUUAGGAUCUAAUCCAGGGGCUCAUGCAAGUUAGACACGGGGCUACACCUGCAUCUUGCCUGUGGUGUCCUGCAAGCUCCUACUUCCCCAGGGUUUACAAAGACAAUAUUUUAAAAAGUUUUUAUAUCUUACCAAAAUUUCAGGUCACAAAAAUACAAUGAAAAAAAUCACACGAGGCAAUUUUAACGAUUCUGUUGACACCUUAGAAUCCGGUGCGAAAAGAAAGCCCUGGCUACUUCUGUAUUCCAGAGUGAUCCCUCAGUCCUAAGUUUUCCCCCAGAGCUGCAGUCAUGAAAGCAAAUUAGACCCUCCAUGGUCCCGAGAUCAGGAAGGGAAGGCUAUUGCCUAGAAUUUCAUCAAUCAGGACACGAUGGUAAUAGCCAAAGGGAGACAGCUUACGAGCCAUUACAUUCCUCGGCUCCAAAUAUCUUAGGAGUAGAUUGUUCUGUUGUUUUUAAUGUCCCAUUUAACUGCCUACAAUGUUUCAGGAGUGUCAUCGGAGUCUCUUAAAUGCAGCCUCAAGGUAGGAGGGAUGUGAAUGUUUCAAGAAUAGUUGAAAUAAAAGGAUGGGUUGUUUGGGGACAUUUCCAGCGCGCUGUGCUGAGGAGGACUGCCUUUGUGCGUUCUGUUCUUUCACUCGUGUCUCACUGGAUUCUCGAGAAAGUGAUGAGACGACAAAGCCAUAUUUUAAGCUCUGUCCAUAAAUUCUGUGAUGACCCCACUCUUCAGGAGGUAAAUUCCCUUACCUUUGCUUGUGGACAGCACUUAGUAAUGGCCUAUGACCUGUAAUGAACAGUCUGUGGCAGAAGUGACUGUGACUUACAGACUAGGUCAUAAAAGGUGCUGCAGCUGUUUCUUUAUCCUCACUCUUAGAUCUCUUGCACUGUGAGGAGACAGCUACCACAUCAUGCUAAACUUAUCCAGCACCGUGGGAAGGUCUGUGAGAAGGAGCUUAGCCCACCAACUGCCAUCACAGGGAAGACUGAGGCAGGAGGAUUGCCAUAAGUUUGAGGACAUCCUACCUGAACUAUGAGUUGGGACCCUGUCUCAAAAAUUUGCAGCUGAAUCAACAAAGAAACGAGGAUCAACAGUUCCCAGUUCUGGAGGCUGAUGGUCUCUGAUUAAUCGCAUAGCCCAUUUAGUCCAGCUUCUGUGGCUCAUGGUGUCAAAACAGGUCACAUCAAGGCAGAAGCCAGAGGGAUUCAGCUAUGAGGCCUGCUGUUUUGCUUUGUUUUGUUUUACUUUCUUUAAUAUAAUAAACAAAACUGGCUCUCUCAAGGAUGGAAUG